rnacentral:rRNA from 1 species
UGCCUAAUACAUGCAAGUCGAACGAAGGCUUCGGCCUUAGUGGCGCACGGGUGCGUAACACGUGGGAAUCUGCCCUUAGGUUCGGAAUAACAGCUGGAAACGGCUGCUAAUACCGGAUGAUGACGAAAGUCCAAAGAUUUAUCGCCUGAGGAUGAGCCCGCGUUGGAUUAGGUAGUUGGUGGGGUAAAGGCCUACCAAGCCGACGAUCCAUAGCUGGUCUGAGAGGAUGAUCAGCCACACUGGGACUGAGACACGGCCCAGACUCCUACGGGAGGCAGCAGUGGGGAAUAUUGGACAAUGGGCGAAAGCCUGAUCCAGCAAUGCCGCGUGAGUGAUGAAGGCCCUAGGGUUGUAAAGCUCUUUUACCCGGGAAGAUAAUGACUGUACCGGGAGAAUAAGCCCCGGCUAACUCCGUGCCAGCAGCCGCGGUAAUACGGAGGGGGCUAGCGUUGUUCGGAAUUACUGGGCGUAAAGCGCACGUAGGCGGCUUUGUAAGUCAGAGGUGAAAGCCUGGAGCUCAACUCCAGAACUGCCUUUGAGACUGCAUCGCUUGAAUCCAGGAGAGGUCAGUGGAAUUCCGAGUGUAGAGGUGAAAUUCGUAGAUAUUCGGAAGAACACCAGUGGCGAAGGCGGCUGACUGGACUGGUAUUGACGCUGAGGUGCGAAAGCGUGGGGAGCAAACAGG